AAGCGUGAAGCCCCCUCCAAGAUGAGUUUUCCCAUUGUUUAACAAGUAAAAUCCCAAAAAGACUAUUUGGUUGAUAGGCUAGAAGUGGAAGUGUAGCGAUACAUUGAGCGGACUAGUACUAAUAGAUUGAGGAUUUAACCAU
rnacentral:ncRNA from 1 species